UCACACACUCUCCUCACCUUCCCUCACGUUCACUCUCCCUCUCAUUCACGCUCUCUCUCACUUUUCUCUCUUCCUGCAACUUCCUCUCCUUCUUCUGGUUCUUCCCUAAAAUUUCAGCACCAUCACCACAGGUUCUUCUUCCUCUCAUGGCAACCGCCACCACAACCUCGUCCUCUCCUUCCAGUGGCCGGCACGCCACAGCACCACCAUGGGUAAACCGCCAGCACCACGUGCCAAACCGCUAGCACCACAAACUUUCUCCUCUUCUCUGACGAUCCCAGACGCGAGCACGAUCUCCACGCCCUCAUCCUCGCGUGAACGACGCCACCAUAGCCACCACCGAGAAACCCUAGCACCGCCACCUUCAACCUUCGAUCUCCGGCGAACCGCUCAUCUACUGGAGAAACUAACACCACCGUUGGACUCCCCUCACCUUCCGGAACAAAACCCCUCAAUCAAUUUGUCAUUCCGACAACCUUCGACGGAAACCGCAACCAGCCGCCUUGCACCACCGUCUUCUCCGGCAAGACCUUCGCCGGAGAAUCUGCAGAACAUGGAUUUUGAGAGUCCUCGACCUGCUCUUCCCGAGAUCAAAGUCAAAUCAUUGUUCAGAGCUCUAAUGAUAUCAAAUGGAGAGGACAAUCAUGACCAGCAAAGGAGAAACCUUCUACUGCCUUCCACUUUGAUAGGGUUGGCAUUCUUAUCUGGAUCGAAUGAUUACUAGAGCCUAUAUGCUUCUCAAUUUUGCUGUCCAAAUGCUUUGUAAAAUUUAGUGAAGAAAAUAUAGAUUAGUGUAUGUAUUUAGUGUUUUAUUAGACUGUGAUCAAUUUAGUUUUGUCUCAAGUUUUAGGUGCUGCCACCUUAAAUUGAAAAUGAAAUUCGUGGGUUUAAAAUUAGCUUAGAAGUUCCAUGUUGUUGCUGUCACGUGAUUGUAGCAGCCAACUGAUCUGUCAAAAACUUAGGUUUCGUGUCCGAUUUUGGAACUGUGUUCUUCAUAAUAAUUGUAGCUUAUUCUGUCAGCAAACUUUUUUCCGUUGGUUUCAUGUCGUUCCGACUUGUGUAGCUCAAGUUAUGCGCAUUUUAGUGAGCACGGGUUAAGUUGUCCCGUUUCUCGCGAACUGUUGUUAGUAUUUUAUUUUUUCCGAAUUUUGUACUUCAAAUUUCGACUUGACAAUUUACAGGGAUUUAGAAAACAUGUUAAAGAACCCAUAAUAAAAAUAUUAGAUUUUUCGGAGUGCAUUUGACAUAUUUAAAAAUUAGCCAAAGUCGUUGUACAGUUUAUAAUCGUUUGACAAAAUUAGUUAUUUCAAGUGCAAAGAGUUGCUUUGGAAAAUAGAUGAGAAAAUCUUAUAUUUUAAAAUGAUAUUACAAUGCUUUGGAGUAGGAAAACCCCUUUUGGACUUUACUUACGUACGUUGUUUAUCCGUUUAUGAAAAUAGAUGGCGUUUGAGUCUUACGCUCAUUUAUUCGUUAGAAAGCGAUUGCGAAAGGUUUUGAAAGUCGAAUAAGUUUUUGGAAGUGUUAGGAAAUAAGAGUUUGGAUAUUAUCUCUUUUGUUAAUAAAUGUUUUAGGGAUAACAUAUUUGAUUAGAGAUAUAGCAAUUAGGUUUGGAUUCCCGAUUGAGGAAUUAGACUUGGAAAGUAGGUAGCUCAAUUAGUAAUUACGCUUUGUGUACUUAUGAAGGGUACGAAUAACGGAGCGCUUGGUGACGAAGCCAAAGAAUAAAAGGAAGCGAGCCGACAUGGGAAAGCAAGGAUGUGAUUGGAUUGGGGUUGCAGUUUAGGAAGGGAAUUGGCUAAGGCGACGGAGAAUCUUCGAUGGAGCUUGACCUUCGUACGAGUCGGAGGGGAGAACUUGAAGAACUGUGGAAGACUUGAAAAAUAGAGUCGGGUGUAGAGUUAGGGCCUUGAGUUAGAGAGCUAACCAUUAUUGGUUUAAGCUUGCAUAACGAUUAUAGAAAUUUAUAUUUAGGGUUUCGGGUACUCGCCUUGUUCAAGGCUUGAUGUAAAUCCCUUUGUAGUU